AAUAUAUGCCCAAAAUUGUAGUUUUUGAAAAAUUCAGAUAAAAACCUAUAAAUCAAUUAUGUAGCUGUGUGUAUUCUCAAAUAUCAAUAUUUGCAACCAAUUGCAAUAACAAAAUGUUUAUUUAACAAAAGGUAAAACUUCCACAAAUUUGCCUUGCUAACUAAAUUCCCAUUUUAUUUUCUCGGCUAUUCCCAAAAUCUACUGCCUUUCCAAAACGAACCUCAUUCACUCAAACCGUGCAUUGAUCCUUUCUUAUGCACUGUUGCAAUUCCCUCAAAUUUUUUCUCCAUUGCUUUGGUUUGAUAUUGAUCUCCCUCUUUGAUUCAGCAAUUUUGAUCACUCCUCGCACUGUUGCUGUGUUCCCCUCAGUUUCCUGAUGAGAUCCUCUUUUGGUUCACUUAUCCAUUUUUCUUCUCCGUAUAAAGGUCUGGA
rnacentral:lncRNA from 1 species